CUGACGAUCACUCACGGUACACAGUGGUUGAAAAACACUGCCAUAAACACUGCCAUAAAGAACUUCAAAUUGUGAUUCAUCUGACCAUGGAACAGUCUUCCAUUUUGCCUCACUCCAAUUUAAAUGACCGCUGGCCCAGUGCCAGGCUGAGCCUGUGGAGCUUGCUGAGAAAUGGCUUCCUCUUUGCACUGUAGAGUUCCAGCUGGCAACGGCGGAUGGCACGGUGAAUUGUGUUCACUGACAAUGCUUUCUGGAAGUUUUCCUGAGCCCAUUCUGUUACUUCCUUGACAGUGGCAUUCCUGUUUGAGGUGCAGUGACGUUUAAGGGCCUGGAGAUCAUGAACUUCCAGUAGAGUUUUAUGGCCUUGACCCUUACACACAGCGAUUGUUCCAGAUUCUCUGAAUCUUUUGAUGAUGUUAUGCACGGUUGAUGAUGAUAACUUAAGAGUCUUUGUUAUUUUACGCUGGGUAACACCAUUCUGGUAUUGUUGCACUAUCUUUCUGCGCAACAAUGGUGGAAUUGGUGAUCCUCUUACCAUCUUGGCUUCAGAGAGACACUGACACUCUGAGAAGCUCUUUUUAUACCCAAUCUUGUUGUCAAUUGACCUAAUUAGUGUUAAUUGGUUUUCCAGCUGUUCAUUAUAUGCUCAAUUUCCUUUUUCCAGCCACUUAUUGCUACUUGUCCCAACUUUUUUGGGAUUUGUAGACACUGUGAAAUUUUGAAUCAACAUAUUUUUCCUUUAAAGUGUUACAUUUACUCAAAUUAAACUUUUGAUCUGUCAUCUAUGCUCUAUUAUGA